rnacentral:rRNA from 1 species
CGCUGGCGGCAGGCCUAACACAUGCAAGUCGAACGGUAACAGGAAUCAGCUUGCUGNUUCGCUGACGAGUGGCGGACGGGUGAGUAAUGUCUGGGAAACUGCCUGAUGGAGGGGGAUAACUACUGGAAACGGUAGCUAAUACCGCAUAACGUCGCAAGACCAAAGAGGGGGACCUUCGGGCCUCUUGCCAUCGGAUGUGCCCAGAUGGGAUUAGCUAGUAGGUGGGGUAACGGCUCACCUAGGCGACGAUCCCUAGCUGGUCUGAGAGGAUGACCAGCCACACUGGAACU